rnacentral:rRNA from 1 species
GACGAACGCUGGCGGCGUGCUUAACACAUGCAAGUCGAACGGAAAGGCCCUGCUUUUGUGGGGUGCUCGAGUGGCGAACGGGUGAGUAACACGUGAGUAACCUGCCCUUGACUUUGGGAUAACUUCAGGAAACUGGGGCUAAUACCGGAUAGGAGCUCCUGCUGCAUGGUGGGGGUUGGAAAGUUUCGGCGGUUGGGGAUGGACUCGCGGCUUAUCAGCUUGUUGGUGGGGUAGUGGCUUACCAAGGCUUUGACGGGUAGCCGGCCUGAGAGGGUGACCGGCCACAUUGGGACUGAGAUACGGCCCAGACUCCUACGGGAGGCAGCAGUGGGGAAUAUUGCACAAUGGGCUGAAGCCUGAUGCAGCAACGCCGCGUGCGGGAUGACGGCCUUCGGGUAGUAAACCGCUUUCGCCUGUGACGAAGCGUGAGUGACGGUAAUGGGUGAAGAAGCACCGGCUAACUACGUG